rnacentral:rRNA from 1 species
AUUGAACGCUGGCGGCAUGCCUUACACAUGCAAGUCGAACGGUAACAGGUCUUCGGUUGCUGACGAGUGGCGAACGGGUGAGUAAUACAUCGGAACGUGCCUAGUAGUGGGGGAUAACUACUCGAAAGAGUGGCUAAUACCGCAUGAGGUCUACGGAGGAAAGCAGGGGCUCGCAGGACCUUGUGCUACUAGAGCGGCCGAUGGCAGAUUAGGUAGUUGGUGGGAUAAAAGCUUACCAAGCCGACGAUCUGUAGCUGGUCGGAGAGGACGAUCAGCCACACUGGGACUGAGACACGGCCCAGACUCCUACGGGAGGCAGCAGUGGGGAAUUUUGGACAAUGGGCGCAAGCCUGAUCCAGCAAUGCCGCGUGCAGGAUGAAGGCCUUCGGGUUGUAAACUGCUUUUGUACGGAACGAAAAGCCCCGGGUUAAUGCCCUGGGGUCAUGACGGUACCGUAAGAAUAAGCACCGGCUAACUACGUGCCAGCAGCCGCCGUAA